rnacentral:rRNA from 1 species
ACUUAAUAUUUUAUUUAUAUUAUUUAUAAAGAAUACUUAAAAUUUUAUUUUAUAAAAUAUUUUGUUGGGGUGACAAUAAAAUUUAAUAAACUUUUAUUAAAAUUUAACAUUAAUAUAUGAAUAAUUGAUCCAAUAUUAUUGAUUAUAAAUUUAAGU